ACAAUUUGGUUCUCCCAUAAAAAAUUCACCAUUUUCACUUAGAAAUCAAAGAAAUUUUCAUAGCCACCAAGAGAGAAAAUUGAUAAAGAGACUAGGGGGAGCUAGAAUAUCAAGUUAGAUUCAAGAAAUAGAAGCUGGAGGAGGGAGAAAAUCAAGUUAAAGAUUGAAAUCAAUGGCAUAAGGUAAGAACAUCAAGAUUUUUAUAUACUUUUGAGUUUGAUAUUAUUGAAAAAGUAGGAAAUUAAUGUUAAGGUAGAGUUUCAUUAUAUAAGGUUCUAUAUUCUUGUUAUGCUAAAAAAGGAAAAUAAGAGAAAGUGAUGGAAAAUGUUGAAGACAAAGGAAAGGAAAGUGUUAUAAAUUUAGUUAUCAACAUUUUACACUAAAACAGUUUCGAGACAGCAGCAGUAGUCUGACUUUGAAAAUCUACCGAAAAUCGUAUAAAUUUAAUUAGAGGAUGAAAAAAAUAUUAAAUUAAAUCUUAUUGGGUCUAGUUUCUCAUAGAAGAAACGCUGUAAGCAAUGGAAUUGUAAAUUAUGAGAUAUAGUAGGUUUUGUGAGAUAAGGUCAGAAUGAUUUCGGGUUCCCCUGUACUGACUUUGGAAAAUCAUAAAAAAUUGGAGAAAAAUAAUUAGAGGCUUAAAUUUAUAUGUUUAAAUCCUUAAUUAGUCUAUUUUCAAUAGAAAUAAACGGAAACAUCAUUAGAAUUCUGUACGAUGAGAUAAUUAAUUUUUAGUGAAGAAGGGUCAGAACUGUUAGACAGCAGAAUAGGGAUGACUUUAAAGAAUAAACUGUAUUUAUUGGAUAAACCAAAAAUUCUGAAAAUUUUAUGGUAAGAACAUAUGUGAGUCUAGUUUCAGAUAAAAUUCACAGAUCUUAAUUUGGAGUUCUGUAUCUCUAGAUAUAAAUAAUUUAGUGACUACGACUCAAGUGGACAACUUUGAAUGAAUAUAUAUAAGUAAAUGGUGAAAUUAUAGAUAAUGUUACUUAUAAGCAUGUUAUAUACAUUAAGGAUGUGGAAUGGAGAGGAGGAGGGGGAAAAUAUAUGAUUAUUUAACUAGCAUGAGUUUUCAUUAAAAAUGACCAAUUUACAUGUUUUAGGUUCAUGGACUAAAUUGAACAAAUGUGAAACUUUAAGAGUAAAUUUGUAAAAACGUCAAAAAGUGACCAAAUUGCAUGAAACGGAUUGGUUAUUUAUCUAAAUUACAAAAUUGAAUGAAAUUUAGAACAAUAUUGGGUGGAAAUUUGAGAAAAAUAGAAAAUUUCCAAAAUAUCCCUAAAUUUUGAUAUUUCUGCAAUUUAGUCUAGUGAGCUCGUAUGAGCUAUAUUCUAUAUAAUUUUAAUUGAAGUGAAUGCUAUUUGGUAAUGAAUAUUAUAUAUAUGUGUGUUUUAUUAUUGGUAAUAUGUAUAAUUAUUUGAUGCAUUUAAAUGAUUAUCGGAAGCUCAAUUGAGUUGGAAGCUUGUUGGAGAUAUAUCACAGUAUCCAUUUGUUCUAUCGGUAAUUUUGGAUGAUUUGAUUCUUGUUAUAAUGGUGUGUAUAAGUUAAAUUGGUUAUGAAUAUGAAUGUUAGAUAAAAAUGGAAUGUCUGAAAAUUAAUUAGUAAACUCCGGUAAUGCCUCAUACCCUAUUUCGGUGUCGAAUACGGGUAAGGGGUGUUACAGCUACCCUCUGCAUUAUAUGCCUGUUUAGGACAUAUUAAACACAUGCACUAACUGAUUGGUGGGGAUCUAGCAAUCGCUAAAGCAAAGCAGAGCAAAGCAACAGAGACACAAAGCAGAGCAAAUCAGUAAAGCAAAAGCGGCAUAACAAAAAAAAGGAACACUAAUUCUGAAAGAAUUACAACACAAGUUCGGACAUGACAAC
rnacentral:lncRNA from 1 species